UUUUAGAGAUAUGGGAACUGGGACACCAAAAGGUAACAUAGCCUACCAGGACACAGAAGUAGCAGAGAUGGAGUGCUAACCUCAACAGUCUGGCUCCAGAGUUCUUGGUCCAGCCCUACUCUAGACGGUGCCACAGCCCUGGAGGGACCCAAGGGAAGUUGCAAAUUCCAGCAAGGAGGUCUGUGGAUACACUCUUGGAACACUGGAGCAUAGAUGAAGCAGGAAGAAGAGAGAAAGCAUGUGUGGCUUCUAACUGGCAGUUCUGAUAAAGAGGUUCCUGGGGCUGCGUCUGGUUUUUACAAUGAUGUCCAGUCUUCGAGGUGAAACCGCUGACCUUGAGUAAAGCACCUGCCCCAAUUCUGCAAGGUAACAAGUGCUGCAGAACCACGGGACCCAGCUAAAUGGUCAGAGACUGCCCAGGAUUCUGUGAGUAGGAAGAAACGAAAAGGAUGAGGCUGCUGCAGAGAACAAAAAGUUUCAUAUGGCUUCCAACUCAGACCUUCAUGUUAUUGGCCCAAUAAGAAAUCCAAACACAGUUAGAACAGAGAAUAAAGGAAGAAAAAGAAAAAGAGAAUCGGUAUGAGACAAAUGAAAGAAGAGUCUGGGGCUAUGUUUUCUCCUGAGAAACUUCCUUGAGUCUACUCAUCAGGAGAAGAGGUUGCUGGAUACUGAAUUCUGGUCGAUAAACACGUUUCUGUAGUUUACAAGAAAGAGACAGCCAGGCCGGAACUCAAAACUUAGAAGACAGAGACACAGAGAGGGAAUGAAAGCCACAGAGAGAGAAAAUGAAUCUCAAGAGGAGGACAGGACUGUAAUAAGCCGCAUCAUGAAGUUAGAAUCUUCCAGCAGAAGACUGAAAUACUGUAACUGACAGUAACUGACCAUCUGGAACACUAUAAAUGUCUUCUUUACUUCUUACUUUGUUUAUUUGUUUGCUUG
rnacentral:lncRNA from 1 species